rnacentral:rRNA from 1 species
UACAGAGGUCUCAAGCGUUGUUCGGAUUCAUUGGGCGUAAAGGGUGCGAGUAGGCGGCGCGGUAAGUCGGGUGUGAAAUCUUGGAGCUUAACUCCGAAACUGCAUUCGAUACUGCCGUGCUUGAGGACUGGAGAGGAGACUGGAAUUUACGGUGUAGCUGGUGAAAUGCGUAGAUAAUCGUAAGGAAGACCAGUGGCGAAGGCGGGUCUCUGGGCCGAUACUGACGCUGAGGAGCGAAAGCGUGGGGAGCGAACAGG